AACGAACGCUGGCGGCGUGCCUAACACAUGCAAGUCGAACGAGAAAGGGGCUUCGGCUCCGAGUAAAGUGGCGCACGGGUGAGUAACACGUAGGUAACCUGCCUCCAAGAUUGGGAUAACCUGUCGAAAGACGAGCUAAUACCAAAUAAGACCACGGCUUCCUCGGAAGCAGGGGUCAAAGGUAGCCUCUAUUUAUAAGCUAUCACUUGGAGAUGGGCCUGCGUACCAUUAGCUAGUUGGUGGGGUAACGGCCUACCAAGGCAAAGAUGGUUAGCUGGUCUGAGAGGAUGAUCAGCCACACUGGAACUGGGACACGGUCCAGACUCCUACGGGAGGCAGCAGUGGGGAAUAUUGCGCAAUGGGCGAAAGCCUGACGCAGCAACGCCGCGUGAGUGAUGAAGGCCUUCGGGUCGUAAAGCUCUGUCGGAGGGAACGAAUGCUCUUGAGGUUAACAGCCUCGGGAAGUGACGGUACCCUCAAAGGAAGCACCGGCUAACUCUGUGCCAGCAGCCGCAGUAAUAC
rnacentral:rRNA from 1 species